AUCGGUCCGGUCCGGCUGGCGGUGCCGGGGGGGCCCGGCCGGCAUCCUUCGUGCGGCCGAAGCUCGGGGAGAGUCCGGACGCGCCGCCUUCCUCCCCGCGUCCCUCUCCCGGUGUAGUCGGGGGACGGUGCAGCCAGGCCCGGUGGGGCCGCCGAGGCCCAGCCCGGCCCACUCCCGCCGUGUCCCUCGUCCCGGGCCUGUCCCGGCCGCUGCCCUGCUGGGGGCUUGUUUCCCACAGCCCCGCGGGUCCCCGUAGCCCGGCUCCCUGCCUGGUCCCGGGCUUUCUGCCGGGUCGGGCCCUGGGCACCUCCACAAAUCGCUGGGAAUGGCUCUUGUCGCUGCUGCUCAAGGCCGCUGCAGCACCCUGCGCCUCCCGGCUCUGUGUUCUGCUGGCUCCAUCGGGCUCGGCUCCGGAGCAAGAGAACCUCAUCGCCUGCUAACACAGCCAGACACGUGAGCAGGUGCCGCCGGGAGCGUGGAGAGCCCAGGGCAGCCUGGAGGAUGAGAUCACACACAGGACAGCGUGUGGGACACAGGAGCCAGGAGUUAACAGGUACUAACACUAGAUAAUCAAAUCCGUAUGUUAUACAUGUACAGCAACUAACUGCUUUACAAAAAAAGCAAAAUAAUACAAUAUAUUGUCACAUGUAUUUACAGUGUAGUAAAUAUACUUUUCUGUCAAAUUUUACACAAAACCUAUUUACAGGUGAAUAUACUGCAUAAAAAAAAAAGGUGGGACCAACACUCUGAGUGACUGUCUGUGGUUUGUUGCAUAACAAUAGGACGUGCUUUGUGAGUUCGGAAAAAAUUAACCUUAGACUGAAACAGAAAAAGCCCUAAAUCCUAAACCCGGGUCAGAGCCAGCCCCGGCACACGCUGGGGGCUCAGCCCAUGAGACUCAGGGAAACGUUCCCUGUCCUGGGAAACCGCAUGCACGGUAAAGCAGAAACAUCGGCAUCAUUACAGGUAGGUUAUGCACUAUUCAAAUACUACUGAGUUAUCUUUAAGUCAGGGAAAAUACAAACACAAACAGAAUGUUCAUUGUCUUUACAGUACUGAGCUGUGGUCAGUGCGGGGCAGGGAACGGGCUCUGAGCCGGGGGUCACACACGCUCCCCGGAGGGCGUUACAUGGUCCACGUGUUCCAAUCGGCUUCUCUGAAUUUUAAGUUUUCAUGUCAGAGCUCAGGGACUCUGAGGCUGCAGUUCCAGCCCUGCAGCAGCAGAGCCUGCAGCAGCAGAGCCUGCAGCAGCAGAGCCUGCAGCAGCAGAGCCUGCAGCAGCAGAGCCUGCAGCAGCAGAGCCUGCAGCAGCAGCCACUGCCGGUGGCCCGGGGGCUGCCUGGAGCGCAGGGGCACUGGGGACCCUGGGACGGGGCUCACACCCACACGGUCACCAGCAACAACCUGCUGGGCACCAGAACAGAGCAGCAGGUGGAGGAAGGGUGGAGCAGAGCUCCCAGGGAUGGAAUGGGAUGGAGAGUGCUCAAACAGAGAAAGAACAAAGGCAGGAGGAUGUGAGAAAGAAAAAGAGGCAAAUCCCAGCAGUGGCUGCUGGAGGGAGCGGGAGAGUGAUACAGUGACAGUAAGGCACUCAACAACUAAUUACUGAUGGGACUUUAAUCGUUACACAAAGGCCAUGGUUCCCUGGGAGCCAAGCACAAGCUUCCCAAGCACCAGUACCAGGAGACAACGUUCCUGUCUAUCGCAGCACACACGAUCCCAAAUGAAACCUUGGCCAUCAGCAGUCCUUACAGCCCAGUUCACCCGUACCUGACACAGGUGUCUGCCACCUCUGCUCUGCCAAGUCCAGGCCCUCUCACUGAACCUCUCAUACAGGGAAAACUCCAACUGGCUCCCUCCUUCCAGGAAAGAGGAAAGGCAGUUUUGUUCACUGGCUUCAUGAAGAGACCAGU